UACGAAGGGGGCUAGCGUUGCUCGGAAUCACUGGGCGUAAAGCGCACGUAGGCGGCUUGUUAAGUCGGGGGUGAAAUCCUGGAGCUCAACUCCAGAACUGCCCUCGAUACUGAUGAGCUCGAGUCCGGGAGAGGUGAGUGGAACUGCGAGUGUAGAGGUGGAAUUCGUAGAUAUUCGCAAGAACACCAGUGGCGAAGGCGGCUCACUGGCCCGGUACUGACGCUGAGGUGCGAAAGCGUGGGGAGCAAACAGG
rnacentral:rRNA from 1 species